rnacentral:rRNA from 1 species
UACAGAGGGGGCCAGCGUUAUUCGGAAUUACUGGGCGUAAAGCGUGCGCAGGCGGCUUUGCAAGACAGAUGUGAAAUCCCCGGGCUUAACCUGGGAACUGCAUUUGUGACUGCAUGGCUGGAGUGCGGCAGAGGGGGAUGGAGUUCCGCGUGUAGCAGUGAAAUGCGUAGAUAUGCGGAGGAACACCGAUGGCGAAGGCAAUCCCCUGGGCCUGCACUGACGCUCAUGCACGAAAGCGUGGGGAGCAAACAGG